AAGAUCACUUUUCGAAAAGUUAUUUGAGAAAUAAAAUUUAUUGUGUUUUAGGCUAAGAUACAUAAAUAACAAAUCAUUUUUCAUAUUUAUAUAUAUAUUUCUUCAAGAUCUUUGAUAAUAGUUUGAAAAAUGGAUAUCUCUUUAUUUCUACGACUUAUUUGUUUCUAAUUAUUAUUUGCCAAUACCUACAACUUCUAUAGAGAUUUCAAGGUUACCGUAGUUAACAAAAACAGUUGAAUGGUUAAGAACCAAAAAAUGCAAUGGAUAACCAAGAGUUAAAAUGGUUAACAUUAAAAGUUGCAAAGGUUCAUCGUUAAAGUCUACCAUUAGCAACAGUUGAAAGGAUUAGCACUAAAAACUGUCAUGGUUCAUCACUAAAGUUUACUAUUACAAAUAGAUGCAAUGUUUAUCGUCAUUGUAAUGGUUCAUCACCAAAUAAUAUCAUCACCAAGAGUUACAAUGAUUUAUAAAGUAUAUAAUAAUAAAAAUAAUCAAAUUACUCAAUAAAUCACAUUAUCUAAAUAUUUUUAGACAAAUUUAAAAUUCUUUAAAUGUAUAUAAAAUAGUUAUGAAAAUGAAUGAAAAGAAAAGUUUUUAUAAAAUUAUGCAAAUUUUAGAUUAAAAAGACACAUCCUUAAACAUGUUGACAAUCUUUUAAAAAUAUAUGUAAUUUUAAAAAUGAAAAAUCAAAUACUUAGACGAAAGAUAAUUCCUUAAAAAUCUAUUCAAUUUUUAGGAUAAAGAGACACAUCCUUAGAAUUUUUACAACUACUUAAAAAUCAAUUCAAUUUUAAUAUGAAAAGACACCAUUAUGAAAUGAUACAUCCUUCGAGAUUUGACAACCUAUUAAAAACCAAUGCAAUGUUUAGGAUGAAAAACACAUACUUUCACAUUUUAUUUUUUAUUUCUAUUACUAAACCAAAAUAAAUUACAAGGUGGAAUCACAUAAAUUUGUCCUUCAAAAUGUAAAUAUUUAGAAAAGAAAAUAUUUAUAAUUAGGAGUGAUUCUUUAUAAAUGAAAGAUGAAAAGUUAUAUUCGAAAACGUAAAUUUUUGUUGUUUUGGUAGCAUAAAUUUUAUUUUCAUUAGAAUUAAUUUUUAAAAAUUUGGUUGGCUAGGUAACUUAAGCUAUUUUAAGAUUUUUUUGAAAAAGUAUAGCAUAUAGAAAUGAAAAAUAAGAAAAGAACAUUCAUAGAUAGUUAUUCAAAACAUUUAAAUGAAAAGAUAUAUCCUUGGAUAUUUAUCUGGAUUAUUUAUAGGUAUCAUAAAUAGAUAUAAACAACUAAAAAUAGCAUUCAUCAAAAUAUAUAGAUAUUAUUUUAGUAAUUUUAUUAUUAAGAUUUAUGUUAUUUAUUUUGGGUUGAUAACUCGAAAGGUGUGAAUAAUGAAAUUGGAUACUGACUGAAUCUCGUACGAGAUGCUUUAAUGAAAAAAUGAAUUUAUUUCAUGCUUUAGGCUACACAAAAUCUGUUUGUAUGAUAAGACAAUCGAAAUCUCAUUCUAUUUUUAGCUAAGAUUCAUGAAUAAUAUAAAAAAUUUGUGUGUGUUAAUAUGUUUUUUCAAGAUCCUUAAUAACCAAUUUGAAAAACUGGAUAUCUCUUUUUAUCUAUACGCUUAUUUAUUUUAGUUAAGAUUUGCCAAUACCCACAACUUCUUAUAUAGAAAGUAAAAGGUGUUGUCCAGAAAAAAAGAAACAGUUUAAGGUUUUAAUGGUUAACAAACAAUCAUUACAAUGAUUUGCUAACAGUUAUAAUUGUUUAGAAAUUGUAAUUGUUCAUCGUCAAAGUCUACCAUUAUCAAAAAUUGCAAUAGUUUGUCAUAAUUUAACAGUUCAUCGUCAAAAGUAUAGUAUUAUAAAAAAAACUAAAUUAUCAGAAAAAUAAAUUACACAAAUAUUUUAGACAAUUUUAAUAUUAUUUAAAUGCAUAUAAAAUUUUUAUGAUAAAAGAAAUAUUAAAAAUUUAUACAAAAUUUAUAUUAAAAGAUAUAUUAGAAGACAUUUUGAGAAUCUUUUAAAAUUUCAUUUUGUUUUUAAAAUGAAAAGGUGUCUUUAGACAAAAACAUAACAUUUUAAAAACCUAUAAAUGUUUAUUAUAAAAGACAUAUUCUUAUAUUUUUUUACACAUUCUCUCUCUUCUUCUCUAAUGACUACAACAAAAAUGUAAUGUUUCUCCAACCUCUUUCUAAUCUAUUUGAACUUGAAAACACCAAGGUUUAUAUCAAUUUCGCAUAUUUUGUGUAUGUCUUUCUCGCUAUUUUUUUCUUGUUUUUGCAGGUUUUCAUUUCAAGUUCUCAUCUUCUACUUCCUUAAAUGUAGAUCUAUAAAUUUUGAAUAUGUAUUUUUUUGGUUUUUAUUUGUUAGAUUUUAAAAAGUUGUAGACACAACCUAAUCUGAUUAUUUUAUUUAUUAUUUAAUCAUUAGAAAUUUUUUUUGAAGGUUUUAUCUAUUUUGAGGCAAUUUUAACGUUUUUAAAUAUGCAUGUUUUCAGAUCUGGGUUAGACUUUGAACUUUAUCUUGUAGAGAAAUCUUUUUGAGAAGUCUUAUGAGGUGAAUAGUAAAUUUAGGGUUUAGAAGACUUAUUCUAGUGCAUUUUAUGUGAGAAUACUUCUCAUGAAAUCUUACGAACUGAAUAUUUAACCUAAUUAAAUUUUUUGUCUCUUUAUAUAAAUAAAAUUUACACAUUCUCUCUCUUCCUCUCAAUGGCUCCCACAAAAAUAUAAUUUUUCUCACUCUAAAACUCUUCCACCUCUCUCUAACUUCUUUGAAAUUCAAAACAUCAAACUUUAUAUCAGUUUCUCAACUUUUUGUCUCAUGUCUUUAUCACUAAUUUAUCUUGUUUUUGCAGGUUUUUCAUUUCAUGAUUUUCAUCUUCCACCGCUUUAAAGGUAGAUCUAUUAAUUUUGGAUAUGUAUUUUUGUGUGUUUAUAUGUUUGAUUUGAAAAAUAUAUAGACUCAACUUAAAUUGAUUGUUUUAUUUAUUAUUUAAGCAUUAAAAAAUAUUUUUGAAGUUUUUCUUUGGUUGGAACCAUUUUAAACAUUUUCCAAUAUGCAUGUUUUUUUAGAUCUGAAGACUAUAUAUUAUGACUUCAUUGAAGACUUCUCGAAAGACUUUAUGGAAGAAUUCACGAGCAUACUUCUCAAGUAGACUUCUCAGAAAAAUUCUCAAAAGACUUCACGCGAAUUAACCGGAAACUUAAAUUUUAAAUGAAAUUUGGCUGCGAAAUAGAAGAUUUAGUCUUCCAUUAGAAGACUUAUAGGGAAGUCGUCUAAUUCGUAGUAAAAUUUCGUCUAAUUCGUAGUUAAAUUUCUCUGAAAAUUUUAGUUUUCUCUUAUUGUUAGGAGACUCUUGUUUUGAUAGUUUAUAUAAUAUUGUAAAUAAUAUAUCCACUUUGUCUCGAAUCUAUUAAUAAAUUCUUGGUUUAAUUUUUAAUUCAUCCAUUCAAGUUUUUGAAAUUAUCAAUAUUUUCGUCAUUGUAAAUCUUUUGUUAAGAUUAUGGUUAUGAAAAUUAAAGGAGAGACUUAUAAUAAUAUAACAAUUGACACAAGUUCAACAUAACAAUAAGUUCAUAACACAAUAAUAUAAAAUCCGAAACAUAACAAACAUAACAAUAAGUUCAUUACACUAGAUAUAGAUAUAUAAGACUCUAAAGUUACUUAAAUCUUAUGAAAGUUGAAAAAUAUAUGUUAUGAUCUAAGAAGACACAUUAAACCACAUGACUUGAUAUUUUUGAAGUUAUUUAACACUUUUGAAAGUUAAAAACAUAUCAUGAGAAGUUGCUUAACAUUCUUAAAAAUACAAGUUUCACAAAACCUAACGGAGAAGACUUCUCCAGAAGUCUUCGCUCAUCAGACUUUUUUAAGAAUUCUUCUCUCAUCAGCUAAAAAUAUAACAUGUAUGUUUGUAACUUCAUAAUUAUCACCAAUUAAGUUAUGAAUUUAAUUUAAGAGCCCCAAUAUUAACUAAUACACACGAAUUAACAAGAAAAUAUUCAAAAAUCAGUUUAAUUUUAGAGAGUAAAAAAAGUUUAAUAAACAUUGACGUAGAAAACUUUUAAAGAAAUAUUUCAUUUAGGUCAUUUUUGCAAUUACAAAUUUACGAAGGAAAACUUUUUUAAGAAGUCUACUUAGUCCUAUUUUGUAAAUAUUGACUUACUUUGUAUUUUAUAAAUUCUUGAAAAUACCAUAGACGACUAUUAAUGUAUGAUGAAAAUACCAUCGAAGACUAUUAAUAUAAGGUUAAUACGAUAAAUGAAAGUUUCAAAAAAAAUCAUGUGUCAGUUUUGCAUUUUACUUUUUUGAGUCAUAUUUGUAAAAAGACCAAUAAUGUAAGAUGAAAGACAUGCGUAACUGUAAUGCAUACAUAAAGAUUUUUUUUAACCGAUUUUAAUGUAUAGUCUCUUGUAUAUUUUUUUUUAUUUUUCUUAGUCAUAACCUUUGUUUGUAUGAUAAAAUAAUUGUAGAUGUAUUAAAUUAUUUAGUUGAUAAACUGUUUUGUAAUGUGUAGGUUUGUAUUAGUUAAUAUGAUAUACAAUAAGGACAUUUAUGUGAUUCAACUAAAUUUUUAGGCGUUCUCCAACCCAACUCCAAAACACCAUUUUAGUGUGAAGACACUUUUCUCUCUAAUCUCAUCUUCGUCAAAUCCAACAUAAUCAUGACUUAAUAAUUCACCUAUCCGUCCUCUUUCUUUCCCUAUUAAUUUUCAUUUUGUAUUAGGUUAUUUCUCAACUAACCCUUUUGACUUUCUCAGUAUAUACUUUUGACUUAAAUUAUAAUCGUUAUCGUGAUAAAAAUGAUAUACCAUUUGUGUUACAUUUCAUUGUAACGUUUUUGUUAGUCAAUUUAAAUUAUGCUUAAUCAUAUAAAUUUAAGAAAAAAAUUAUUUGACCUAAUUUGAUCAGAGAUACGUUCAACCAGACAUAUAGGAUCUUGACCAUACAUCGAUAAAAUAUAUGACUUUUCAAAAAUAUCUAAUACCGUAUACAUGUGAUAAGCAUCAUAACCCCAAAAUGUUUUAAGUAUACUUGAAUCAAACAAACACACAAAAGGUCGUCAAAUUGAUUUUAAUAUGACUUUAAUAUGUUUGUUCUUUUCAACGUGAUCUAUCUUUACAAAUUGCCUUUUCCUUCCUUUUACCACCUACAUUUCCACAAAUCUUUUCCUAAUAAUAUAUAUCUGCCUCCUUCUUCCAUCAUUGAUUUCUUGUCUCCUUCUCUUUCACCUUUAUCUUGUUUAUAAAUUAUAAGCUUAUCAUCUCUCUUGUAAAAGCUAGGGUUCUUCUUAUGGUCUCCAUGUUCAUCUCUGAAGCUUUUUUCUUUUGAGGGGAAUGUUGUCUGGCACGAGGCCCUUAACACAGAUCUACGAUCGGUUAUAUAUAUAAAUAUCUUCUUAUUAACUAUAUAUGUAUUUAUAUAUAAUAUAUGAACGAUUAAUUUAGUGGUUGAUGACGUCGGACCAGGCUUCAUUCCCCUCAAUUACAUCGCUUCGAUCCAUCUUCUAGUCAUUUCCCGUAGUCUCUCAUCAUUACCAGCUCGAUUGGUGGAGUGGAUUCCUGCAUGUAUUGGCUAGCUGCUCAUAGCGAGGGCUCUUUCUCUGUAGUCCAAAGGUUCUUCUGGUUCUGUGUGGUGCAUGCGGUCUGUCUCUUCCGAUAUGUGGUUUGAUGCUGGUACAUUUUUCUAUGGAAGUUGGUUUAGCAUUUUCUUGCCUUCCCUUUGUAUACCUAUUUCAUUUGAUGUCUCUAUGGUUGCUACUUUGAGGUGAUUUUUGUGUUUUCAGUAUAAGUUUUUUUGGUCUUUGGUCUUUGUAUUCUUUGUCAUGUUCAUGAUCCUCGCUAGGAGACCAUGCAUGGGACGGGAGAACAAGAACCAGUCAUGAGACAUUAAGGCAAACGUUCCAUGGGGAGUAAAAAGGCUUAACUCCGGACAAAACUGAAAGUUACCCAAGGAAACGAAGGGAAAUGAAAAGAAAUGGAGCUGGACUGAGUUAAGGAAAGAGUGAGACUAGCUAGACCAGUUGAAAAGAGCUUAGAUAUGAGCUCAUUCAAGUCGGAUCAGCUGACAGUCUGAGCUCAGCUAGCUGGACCAGCUGCCAGGAAUCUUAACUCAAUUGGGAGGAGUGUUCGGCAGUUUGGCCAGUUGGUCAGAUAUGGGUGGUUACAGGACCAGUGAUCGAGCAUGGUUCAUUCAUGGGAGGAUUCGGACUUGCGAGACAAGUCUUAGCACGUGUGGAAAGCAUGCUAAGUGGUUGGGCAAUUUAUGUCCGAAGAUAUGUGAAUGGGAUAUGUGUUCAUUCGUUGGCCAAAGACCUUUUUGCUUAGAAAUGGGGUUGGUUGGUUUCUGUAUAAAUACUAAGUCUUAUGCAUGAUUUUGGGUA